rnacentral:tRNA from 1 species
GAAGUUAUAGUCAACCACUGACAUCUGACCUGCAAUCAGAAAGUACCUUACUUAGGUUAACUUUA